AGGUAUUCGUGAGGUUCACAUCAAAAUUAUUAUUAUCAAAAGUUUAAUUCUCAAAAUUAUCCAAAGUAUAACAAUAACAAUUCAAGGGAUAAUAAUAAUUCAUCAAACCCUCAAAAUUCACAAAGUAAAAAUCACUAGGAAACAAGCAUUUUAGCUCUUUGAAAGACUGGACAGCUAAGGGAUAAUAUAUCGUUUUGGAGGUGGUGAAUACUGGAAAGAUUGUGGUGGUGAUGUGCAACCGCUGCCGCGGCUGCUGUAGAUACGGUAUUUUGUGUCGAUGAUUCGUUUGAAUUUAAUUUGGUUGAUGUAUCCGCUUGAUGAUGCUGGGAAAUGGCGAAUCGCAAAAAAUUUAUGGGCACACCAAGAACUGCACUGCGUAAAGGAUAAAAGGACAAGAAGUAAAUGUUCUAAAGUUAUGUGAAAAAGCAAGCACCAAAGUGGAAUGCAGCCCCCGUA